UACGGAGGGGGCUAGCGUUGUUCGGAAUUACUGGGCGUAAAGCGCACGUAGGCGGCUUUGUAAGUUAGAGGUGAAAGCCCAGGGCUUAACCCUGGAAUUGCCUUUAAGACUGCAUCGCUAGAAUCGUGGAGAGGUAAGUGGAAUUCCGAGUGUAGAGGUGAAAUUCGUAGAUAUUCGGAAGAACACCAGUGGCGAAGGCGACUUACUGGGCACGUAUUGACGCUGAGGUGCGAAAGCGUGGGGAGCAAACAGG
rnacentral:rRNA from 1 species